GUUUCAGCAACACUCAGUCACCGCUCAGGUGCGAGAGGGAGUCACCCUGGCGGCAGCGGGUGGAGACAUUCCAGCGAAGGCCGUGGUCACUAAGGACGAGGAAGAUAGACCUGAGCUGCUCAUUAUCAAGGAGGAGAGACCUGAGGAUGAACAGGAUGCCAGUGACCCGAAGGAACGCGUAAAGUUCAGCGCGGAGAGAGCUGUGGAGUUGAGGGCAGGUGGUGGGGAAAGAACUCCCAUUCAGGACACACAGAAUAAAGCAGCACAACACACAGAGGAGCUCACUGAGCAGCACAGGACCAGACACAGUGCUUGGGAGGUCAGUGGAUUGGAGAACGUCCUCAAAGCAGAACCAGAGAGUGAGAGUGGAAACCAACCACUUUCUGAACACAGAGCAGGACGACUGAGCAGUCUGGACUCUGACUGUGUCAUGUAUGAGAGCCUCAGUCAUUUGGGGACUUAUGUUACCCAAAGGAGUCCAUAUGGAGAGACUGAGGAUCCAUCUUGCUCG